rnacentral:rRNA from 1 species
GACGAACGCUGGCGGCGUGCUUAACACAUGCAAGUCGAACGGAAAGGCCCUGCUUUUGUGGGGUGCUCGAGUGGCGAACGGGUGAGUAACACGUGAGUAACCUGCCCUUGACUUUGGUAUAACUUCAGGAAACUGGGGCUAAUACCGGAUAGGAGCUCCUGCUGCAUGGUGGGGGUUGGAAAGUUUCGGCGGUUGGGGAUGGACUCGCGGCUUAUCAGCUUGUUGGUGGGGUAGUGGCUUACCAAGGCUUUGACGGGUAGCCGGCCUGAGAGGGUGACCGGCCACAUUGGGACUGAGAUACGGCCCAGACUCCUACGGGAGGCAGCAGUGGGGAAUAUUGCACAAUGGGCGGAAGCCUGAUGCAGCAACGCCGCGUACGGGAUGACGGCCUUCGGGUUGUAAACCGCUUUCGCCUGUGACGAAGCGUGAGUGACGGUAAUGGGUAAAGAAGCACCGGCUAACUACGUG